rnacentral:misc_RNA from 1 species
GAUGAAGAACGUAGCGAAAUGCGAUAAGUAAUGUGAAUUGCAGAAUUCAGUGAAUCAUCGAAUCUUUGAACGCACAUUGCGCCCGCCAGCAUUCUGGCGGGCAUGCCUGUUCGAGCGUCAUUUCAACCCUCGAGCCCCCCCGUGGGCCUCGGUGUUGGGGGACGGCACACCAGCCGCCCCCGAAAUGCAGUGGCGACCCCGCCGCAGCCUCCCCUGCGUAGUAGCACACACCUCGCACCGGAGCGCGGAGGCGGUCACGCCGUAAAACGCCCAACUUUCUUAGAGUUGACCUCGGAUCAGGUAGGAAUACCCGCUGAACUUAAGCAUAUCAAUAAGCGGAGGA